UACGUAGGGUGCGAGCGUUAAUCGGAAUUACUGGGCGUAAAGCGUGCGCAGGCGGUUUUGUAAGCCAGAUGUGAAAUCCCCGGGCUUAACCUGGGAACUGCAUUGGUGACUGCAUCGCUCGAGUAUGGCAGAGGGGGGUAGAAUUCCACGUGUAGCAGUGAAAUGCGUAGAGAUGUGGAGGAAUACCGAUGGCGAAGGCAGCCCCCUGGGUCAAUACUGACGCUCAUGCACGAAAGCGUGGGGAGCAAACAGG
rnacentral:rRNA from 1 species